rnacentral:snoRNA from 1 species
GAGUGUCCCAUUCAAGAGCAACCUGUGGCUCCAAACUGUUGAGCGGCCUCUGUGCCUGCAGGCCGCUGGCACUAAGGUGGGUCACACAAUC